UUCCCAUGUGUGUAUAAAAAGAACUCUGGAGACCACAUCGUAAAGGGUCACUGAAAUGAUGAACAGUGAAAACUGAGCCAAUUGGAAACACCUCCAAUACUGACGUCCUUACAGGGAACUCAAGUUGGGGGCUCCUAGGAGCCAAAGCACAGCCAGCCAGUGCAGCCAAAAUGCCUCGUCGGGCCAUUCGCUGACAUGCACAGUGUCCAGGUCUUCCUGGAGUUGUACCUAGGCCAAACUUCCUCUGUUCCUGUUACCUGUGGCAGCUUUUGGAACACUACCACAGCCAUCCGCAGGGCCUCGCUGAGCACCUAGCAUGCGCAGAGCACUACGCGACAGCCACCAUUUCACUGAAGCUUGUUGUGACUCUCACGUCCCUGUUCUUUGCGGGUACCGCUG